AAGUCGUAACAAGGUUUCCGUAGGUGAACCUGCGGAAGGAUCAUUAGCGAGAGCCUGCCACGGAUGCAAGUCUGUGAGCAAGCGCGCCAUCCUUGUGUUGUGUGUGUUGCCUGUGCACCUGACAAUGUUUGACAGUGUCGGUGUGCACACGCGCAUUUUCACCCAUUAUCCCAUUUAUCUAAUGCAACUGCUCAUACUGAGCACAAACAACCGAAAACUGCCAGCAAUGGAUCACUCGGUUCUC
rnacentral:misc_RNA from 1 species